GUAACGCGUAGGUAACCUGCCUCUUAGCGGGGGAUAACUAUUGGAAACGAUAGCUAAUACCGCAUAAAAGUCGAUAUCGCAUGAUAUUGAUUUGAGAGGUGCAAAUGCAUCACUAAGAGAUGGACCUGCGUUGUAUUAGCUAGUUGGUGAGGUAACGGCUCACCAAGGCGACGAUACAUAGCCGACCUGAGAGGGUGAUCGGCCACACUGGGACUGAGACACGGCCCAGACUCCUACGGGAGGCAGCAGUAGGGAAUCUUCGGCAAUGGGGGCAACCCUGACCGAGCAACGCCGCGUGAGUGAAGAAGGUUUUCGGAUCGUAAAGCUCUGUUGUAAGAGAAGAACGAGUGUGAGAGUGGAAAGUUCACACUGUGACGGUAACUUACCAGAAAGGGACGGCUAACUACGUGCCAGCAGCCGCGGUAAUACGUAGGUCCCGAGCGUUAUCCGGAUUUAUUGGGCGUAAAGCGAGCGCAGGCGGUUAGAUAAGUCUGAAGUUAAAGGCUGUGGCUUAACCAUAGUACGCUUUGGAAACUGUUUAACUUGAGUGCAGAAGGGGAGAGUGGAAUUCCAUGUGUAGCGGUGAAAUGCGUAGAUAUAUGGAGGAACACCGGUGGCGAAA
rnacentral:rRNA from 1 species